UGGCUCAGGACGUACGCUGGCGGCGUGCCUAAUACAUGCAAGUCGAACGAGUUCUCGUUGAUGAUCGUAGAUUGCAUCAGAUUUAACAUGGAACGAGGGGCGGACGGUUGAGUCACACGUGGGUCACGAGCCCUUAAGCGGGGGNUAACAUUGGGAAACUGAUGCUAAUACUCGCAUAGAUCCAAGAACGCGCAUGCUUCUUGGAUGAAAGAUGGAGUAAGCUAUCCCCUUGGGAGGGACCCGCGGGGUUUGACGCUAGUUGGCGCGGUAAUGGCUCACCAUGGCGGUGAUAGUUAGCGGAAAUCAGAGGGUGAUUCGCCACAUCGGGAGUGAGACACGUCCCACACUCUUACGGGAGGCCGCGGUACGGAAUCUUCCACAAUGGACCCAAGUGGGAUGGAGCACAGCCGGCGGCAGUCAAGAUAGGCGCACGGGUGGUAAAACUAAGAUGUUGGAGAAGAAUG
rnacentral:rRNA from 1 species